CGGGUGAGUAACACGUAUGCAACCUGCCUGCUACAGCCGGAUAAUCGGGAGAAAUUCCGUCUAAUACGGCAUAAUGCAUCGACGGGACAUCCUGUUGGUGCCAAAGGUUGAUUCCGGUGGCGGAUGGGCAUGCGUCGCAUUAGUUAGUUGGCGGUGUAACGGACCACCAAGACGACGAUGCGUAGGGGUUCUGAGAGGAAGGUCCCCCACACUGGUACUGAGACACGGACCAGACUCCUACGGGAGGCAGCAG
rnacentral:rRNA from 1 species